UACGUAGGGUGCGAGCGUUGUCCGGAAUUAUUGGGCGUAAAGAGCUCGUAGGCGGUGUGUCGCGUCGGCCGUGAAAACCUGGGGCUCAACUCUGGGCGUGCGGUCGAUACGGGCAUCACUUGAGUUCGGCAGGGGAGACUGGAAUUCCAGGUGUAGCGGUGAAAUGCGUAGAUAUCUGGAGGAACACCGGUGGCGAAGGCGCACAUCUGGCCCGAUACUGACGCUGAGGCGCGAAAGCUAGGGGAGCAAACGGG
rnacentral:rRNA from 1 species